rnacentral:rRNA from 1 species
GACGAACGCUGGCGGCAUGCCUAAUACAUGCAAGUCGAGCGGACUUGAUGGAAAGCUUGCUUUCCUGAUAGUUAGCGGCGGACGGGUGAGUAACACGUAGGCAACCUGCCCUCAAGCUUGGGACAACUACCGGAAACGGUAGCUAAUACCGAAUACUUGUUUUCUUCGCCUGAAGAGAACUGGAAAGACGGAGCAAUCUGUCACUUGGGGAUGGGCCUGCGGCGCAUUAGCUAGUUGGUGAGGUAACGGCUCACCAAGGCGACGAUGAGUAGCCGAGCUGAGAGGGUGAUCGGCCACACUGGGACUGAGACACGGCCCAGACUCCUACGGGAGGCAGCAGUAGGGAAUCUUCCGCAAUGGGCGAAAGCCUGACGGAGCAAUGCCGCGUGAGUGAUGAAGGUUUUCGGAUCGUAAAGCUCUGUUGCCAGGGAAGAACGCUUGGGAGAGUAACUGCUCUCAAGGUGACGGUACCUGAGAAGAAAGCCCCGGCUAACUACGUGCCAGCCGCCGCCGUAACAC